rnacentral:lncRNA from 1 species
GAUCUGGGAACGGGCGGCCAAGGGAGCGGCGUCGGCGUCCUCCAGCGGCAGGCGACGGGAGAACGGCGAAAUCGGCCAGCGACGGGUGGAAAGGAGUCACCGCCGCAGCCGCCGGAGGUCGGAGCCGAGGGGAGGUGGGCGAACAACAACGAGCGACGCCUCGAGGGUAUCUUUCCUCUUCUUGUUCUUCUUGUUCCUCUUCUUUUCCAGCGUGGCCCCGGCCGGAACCCCAAAUGGGGGCACGUCUCGUUCUCCGUCCGCGCGUCCGCCGCGGCGGCGCCGGCGGCAGGGUGUGAUGCCGCGGGGGAUGGGGGAUGGGGAUGGAGGCGGCCGCCAUGCCAGAGGAGCUGCGGCACAAACGCUCUGACAGCAAGCAAUCCUGUCUAG